GUGACGUCGGCAAGGGGAGACGUUCUUGGACAAAUUGAGUUCAGAGUGAGUGGCUGUGGUGAGUGGCACGGAGACCAGAGUCGUUGACUGAAGACUAUAAAGGCAGUUACCCUUAUGGGCUUUGGUGUGAAAACCGAAAUUCGUCGCGCGCUGGCGCUCUCUGCGGUAUUCCAGCAGCAGAGUUGGGAACUUAUUGCAGAGCAUCAGAGGGUUACCGAUCACGUGGUGUUGGUUGCAAUAACCUCCGAGCAACACAAUCUUCGUAAGAAAGUGACACCCAAAAUUUUUUUUCUCUUGACGUCAUCGAUCUGUAUACACGGAAAUCAGCUAACCGAAUUCCUCAGUCCGGAAACAACCGCGCAGUAGAGCGGACGGAUGAGAAUCGCGCUCCGCAGAUUUCGAGUACCAGGUUCUCUACUUCCCGGAUUCUGCGCUCCGGGUCCGCUUUCUGGUGCAACUCGACUUCCAGGACAAGCGCUACGUGGUUCCUGCGCUCAAGGUCCAAUACCUGGUGAAUUUUUACAUGAACCAACAACAAAAAGGAGAGAUAUCGAUUCGAAGAUGCCUUGUACGAGAUCUUCUUACCGACUGGCGGAAACGGCUCCUGUGAAGUCAUUCCUACUACUUUGGUUGAAAUUCAACCUCAACAAACACAGGAUCAAUCAACUCAGGUUUUGAGUUUAAUUCAAGAAAUUCUUCAAACUCAGCAUGAGGAACGUCUUGAACGAGAGGAAUAGAUCUCCUUCCCCUGUUGUUUUGAGAGAUUUUCCAAUAAAUCAGGAUCAGGUAACAGAUAUUACCCCAAGGUCAGUGCCAUUUUGCCCCUCUUUUAAUGGAGCUUCAGUAGAAAACAGAGUGUGUGAGAACAGAAAUCUGCAGAGAUUUGAACUCCCAGAAUCCUCACACGCUCUAAAUUAUCAUCAUCAGAUGAACGCUAGAUCAUGCCAAAAUUUGGUAGAUAACGUUAAUAGAGACAGCAUUUUUCAUUCUGUCUCUAAUAACAAACUUAAACCUGUAACUUUUGACGGUUCGACUUCCUGGACGGAUUAUGAACGUCUGUUCCAAAUCAUUGCUCGAAUAAAUAAUUAGGAGCCUGCCAUUAAAGCUGCUAAUUUAAUCAAUUCUCUAAGAGGUCUAGCUUUGACUAUUUUGUCUUCUCUAUCGAAUUCCGAUAGACUUAGAUUCGGAGAUGAAAAUUUAUCUAAAUUGUAUUGUUAUAAAGGGUGAAAUCAUCAAUCACCCGUGUUAUCAUGAUCUAGUAGUCAUUUUAAACUGUAAGCUUUCAUGUGUCACGAAACGAAUAGGGUUGCUGCAUCAAUAAAUAUUGUUACAAAGGGUGAAAUCACCCGUUUUGU